UUUGAGGGCAUCUUAUUUCUGCUUGCUUUGAAGUUCCCUUCUGCAGUUCCACUUAUGCAGUGGAGGGACUAGGGUGAUAGUUUCUAUUGGCAAGAUAAAGUAGUUUGAUGCUUCUAUGAAUCUAUGUAAUAGAAGGUUAUAAUAGGAAAGCUUUAAGUCUAAGAUUGAAAAAUCAAACUUUAUCUUUUUCUGCAGGAAGUUGAACUUGAAGCACAUGCUGUUAAAGGGAUUGGUAAGACUCAUGCAAAGUGGUCCCCAGUUUCCACAGCUUUGUAUAGGAUGCUUCCUGAGGUUAUGUUAUUGCAAGAAGUGGAAGGUGAAAAAGCUGAAGAGCUUGUAAAUAAAUGCCCAGUUAAUGUAUUUGACAUUGAAGAUGUUGCUAAGGGUAAGAAGAGGGCAACUGUAGCCCGACCAUGAGCUUGCACGCUAUGUAAGGAAUACAUUAGAUGGGAAGACUGGGAGAAGCGUGUGGCAAUAAGGCGUGUUAAAGACCAUUUCAUCUGUAAGUAGUGAUGUGUAUACAUCAAUAAUUAACUAGGAAGAUCAUCUUUCCAUGUUUCAGUGGUAACUGAUUUUCUUGUUUAUAAGCAUCUGGUUAUGCUUGCCUGCAGAACAACAUAGAUUCUACUAGUGCCUUUAUCUGAUACUUCGUAUGUGGCCUGCAUAUGCAUGUCUAAACUAUU